CUUUCAUGGAGAGUUUGAUCCUGGCUCAGGACGAACGCUGGCGGCGUGCCUAAUACAUG
rnacentral:rRNA from 1 species